AGUUUGAUCAUGGCUCAGAACGUACGCUGGCGGCACGCCUAACACAUGCAAGUCGAACGAAGUAGCAAUACUUAGUGGCAGACGGGUGAGUAACAUGUGGGUAUCUGCCCUUUGGCCUGGAAUAACACGAGGAAACUUGUGCUAAUACCGGAUAAGUCUUUACGGAGAAAGCUUUAUGCACCAUUGGAUGAGCCCGCACUUGAUUAGUUUGUUGGUGGGGUAAUGGCCUACCAAGACUGUGAUCAAUAGCUGAUUUGAGAGGAUGAUCAGCCACAUUGGGACUGAGACACGGCCCAAACUCCUACGGGAGGCAGCAGUGGGGAAUCUUGCACAAUGGAGGAAACUCUGAUGCAGCGAUGCCGCGUGAGUGAAGAAGGCCCUUGGGUUGUAAAGCUCUUUCGUCGGGGAAGAAAAUGACUGUACCCGAAUAAGAAGGUCCGGCUAACUUCGUGCCAGCAGCCGCGGUAAUACGAAGGGACCUAGCGUAGUUCGGAAUUACUGGGCUUAAAGAGUUCGUAGGUGGUUGAAAAAGUUAGUGGUGAAAUCCCAGAGCUUAACUCUGGAACUGCCAUUAAAACUUUUCAGCUAGAGUAUGAUAGAGGAAAGCAGAAUUUCUAGUGUAGAGGUGAAAUUCGUAGAUAUUAGAAAGAAUACCAAUUGCGAAGGCAGCUUUCUGGAUCAUUACUGACACUGAGGAACGAAAGCAUGGGUAGCGAAGAGGAUUAGAUACCCUCGUAGUCCAUGCCGUAAACGAUGUGUGUUAGACGUUGGAAAUUUAUUUUCAGUGUCGCAGCGAAAGCGAUAAACACACCGCCUGGGGAGUACGACCGCAAGGUUAAAACUCAAAUGAAUUGACGGGGACCCGCACAAGUAGUGGAGCAUGUGGUUUAAUUCGAAGAUACGCGCAGAACCUUACCAACACUUGACAUGUUCGUCGCGACUCUAAGAGAUUAGAGUUUUCGGUUCGGCCGGACGAAACACAGGUGCUGCAUGGCUGUCGUCAGCUCGUGUCGUGAGAUGUUGGGUUAAGUCCCGCAACGAGCGCAACCCUCACUUUUAGUUGCCAUCAUUAAGUUGGGCACUCUGAAAGAACUGCCAGUGAUAAGCUGGAGGAAGGUGGGGAUGACGUCAAGUCCUCAUGGCCCUUACGUGUUGGGCUACACACGUGCUACAAUGGUAUCUACAACAGGAAGCAAGACUGCGAGGUCAAGCAAAUCCUUAAAAGAUACCUCAGUUCGGAUUGCACUCUGCAACUCGAGUGCAUGAAGCUGGAAUUACUAGUAAUCGUGGAUCAGCGUGCCACGGUGAAUGCGUUCCCGGGUCUUGUACACACCGCCCGUCACACCAUGGGAGUUGGUUCUACCUUAAGGCAAGGUUUCAAACCCUUGACCACGGUAUAGUCAGCGACUGGGGUGAAGUCGUAACAAGGUAACCGUA
rnacentral:rRNA from 1 species